GGAAAUAACCAUUGUACCUUAGGUACCGUUUGAUUCGGGUAUAAAUAAAAACUAGCUAUUACAGGAAUAGCUUCAAGUAUGGGAAUAAGAAAAAAGUGUUUGGAUGAAAAUUGGAUUAUUUUCGGGGAUAAGAAAAAUAGCGUUUGGAUAGAUAAUAUGGAAUAAGAAAAAUAUUAGGUAGCUUUAUAUAAAAAAUGGAGGUGUUGGUGAGAAUAGUUAUAAUCGGUUAUUAUAGGUAAACGAGAACUACUAUUCUCGGAUAAAAAAUUAGUGUUUGGCAAUAAAAGUUUCAGUUUUUUUUGAAUUCAGAACCUUUUAAUCUGAUAUCAUAUAAAAUAACUAUUAUACGCAAAAAAGCUUAACCAGUUAAAGAAUAAUAUAUAUUUAUAUUUAACAUAACCAACCAAAAAGAUAAACAUGGGGCAGUGAAAUGUCAAUUUCCAAGAAAACAAAAGAAUGCAAAGUAGCUUUUCCCAAAAGGCAAAACCUUUUCCAAAGUGGAAUAAAUAAUUGCACCAUAUACAUACAACAUAUAUGUUCAUAAUUAAUUGUACCAUAUUCCUAUCAUCUCCCCACUUGACCUUUUCCACAACUUUGACAGAUUCCAACUUAACAGCAACCUAACAAAAACAAUUUAUAAUUCAUUUCCAACAACAACACCACACCACACCAACCUCACCUCUCAACCCACUAAUAGGAUGUUCAAUUGGUUUUUCAAAAAUAGCAUAAAAAACUAUUUUUUUAAUAAAAUAUUUUUCUAAUUUUUUUUUUUUUACGAUUUUAUCUUUUGGAAUAAAAAUUUUAAAAAAUAAAAAUACUGUUCUUCCUAAAAUAUAAAAAAUAAAAUUUUCUUUUUAGAAAUUAGAUUAAGGAAAAAUAUUUUUUCAGCUAUAAACUAUUUUCUAAAAUAUUUUUUGAAAAACCAAACAUCACUAAAGUAGUAAUAAAAUGGAAGGUUUAAUUAUAAACUAUUGCAUUGUAUUUUAGUAUUAUUUUUAUUUAUCAUAUUAUAUAAGUUUUUUCGAAAAUAUUAUUGUAUUAUUAUAUAUUAUCAAACACUACACCAUAUUUAGAUUUAUUCAUUUUUCCCUAUUGUACUUUAUAGUUAGGACUGAGCAAAUUUUUUUCUCGUUAAUUUUUACAUUAUUGUUAACAAAUUUAUUAUUUUAGAUAUAAUCUAACAAUUUUAUUAAAAUGCACUAGUUAAAUAGUAGGCAAAAUGUAAAAUAAAUCUUGGUAAUAAACUCAUAAAAAAUUUUAAUCAAUUUAUUUUAACUAUUGUUUAAUUAUUUUAUAUAUUUUUUUAAUUUUUAUGUCAAGACGAAAUGUCACUUUCAACUAGUAAUUUUAAACAAUUUUUAUUUGAAAUUGUAGAUAUAUAUAUUUAGGAAAAAGAUAACUCUACGCACCAUUUUGGGGUGUAUGAUUUUACACUCAUCUAUCUAAUUUAAUGGAUGGAUGUAAAUUAUACUCCAAAAAUAAAAUGUAUGAAUAGCAUUAAUUGCUCAUAUAUUUAUAUUAUAGAAAUUGAGAAGACGAAAUAGUUGAGUAGUGUCGCUGAAAAAAAAAAAAUAAAAACAAAAAACCAAUAUCAUAAGAAAUAAUUAAGAACAUAUUUGAAUGCAUAAUUAUACUUUAUAUUUAUUUAAAACUUUUAUAACAUUUAAUAUAAUGGAUGAAGUAGACAAGUAGUAAUAAAACAUAUUAAUCCUAACAACACCACUCACAAGAAAUAGUCAAAAACCUUUUUAAAUGCAUAAAUAUGUUCUAUGUAUUUACUUAAAACCUAUAUAAUAUUUAACAUGAGAAGAGUAUACUUAAGUAGCAAAAAGUAUAUAUUAUGUUACUUCAAAAUUUAUAUUUUUAAAAUAAGAUAAGUUAUAUUACCAAAUUAAUAUUUCUCAAACAAAGCUCAAAACUACCUCACAAAAAAAAUACAUACAUAGUAUAUACUAUAUAAUAAUAUAUAUAUAUAAUAUUAUUAAUAUAUGACUUUACAUAUUAAAUCAUUCCAACAUAGAGAAAUGACAGCAAAUCUAAAUCAAUAUACCUCCUCUCAGAUUAAUAAAUUACAUAAAAUGCAUAAAAAAAAAAGAGGAGCAAAAAUUGCGGCCAACAUGAUUUAUAAAGUUGCAAAAUAUUCCAUUAUAAAUAAAGAAGUAUGAUACCAUGCCAGUUACUCAAAAACUGACCAACUAUGAUUACUUCUUAUACAAAUUCGUGGCCACAUUUGCGGACACAAAAGAGAAAAAUAAAACUCAAUUAGAUUACCAAAAAAAACAAAAAAAAAAAAGCUCAUCUCUCUCUCUCUCACUGUAUUCAUUUUUGUUAAAGAAAAACUUUUUACAAAAAAUAGAAGACAUAAAAAAAAAAUAAUUUAAAAUUCGUUAGAGCGACAAGAGAAUUCUCUCUUCUUUAAUUUCCCUGCUUCUCUAAAUCUCAAAUUGGAGUCAAAAUUCCAUUUAAUUCCCUUGCAGUAAAUCUGUAAUCAAAUUAAGUUGUUUAACCCGGGUUGGUUUUUUUCCUUGUUUUGGUGAGGGAAGUGGUUUAUUGUGGGUAUUGUUGAUGGUUUGGAUAUAUUCGUAUCGUAUAUGUUAUAUUAAUAUUAAUAUUAUUAUUAUUGAGGGCCGUUAUGUUUUGUUUUCUGUGUUUCAAAUAACAAUAUUUUAUUAUUUAUUAUCCGCGACCGCGGGGUGAUGCCGCCGCAUGAGCGGCGCCCCGAAGUCGAAGCCCUCGACGCGGACGGCGGCGGGAGGCGGGCCGACUUGGCGCGCGACGCAGCCUUCUCCGGAGGGCGACGGCGGCGAACCGGGUAAGGCCCGGCCCGGCAUGCGGCCGUCUCGCCGAACGGGCCGUCGGGACCAGCGGUUCUGUGGCACCGGGUCGGGGGUCGAACGCGGAUAAGAACGGCGGAGAUUAUGCCACGUUGCUCUGAUCUACCUCCCUACAUCAAAGAUGUAUCUAUUGUUAAUAACGAAUGAGAAUUAUCCUUAUUCCAUUAAUUAUUUUUAAUGCCUCCUUUAGCUCUUUAACAUACCUGUAAUUGUAUUUUAUUUCAUUUUUAUUUUUUUCAUUCUAAGUCUUUUUUAUUAAUCUUUUUUUCAGUGAACAAAACUAACAAGUUAACAAAUUACUUACAAAACAGUAUUCCGACUACUAAACCGUUCAAUAAUACCGAUAUCAUAAAUUUCUUUUAUUUACUUAUACUAUCUAUAACAAAUAUUCAUAAACAACAUUUUAAUUCAAUCUAAUAUUAUAAAACUCUUCUCCUCCUGUUCUUCUUCCUUUUUCCGUUUUCGGUCUUCUAUCUCUGUUUCUUUCUUCGUCCGCCGGUAAAAAAAAAAUCACAGAAUACUAAAUUAAUACACUUAAAAUUACAAAAUACUAAAGUGCGUGGUUUUUAAAAUUUACCCCUUAUAUUUAAGGAAAAAGGCAUAAGAACCCAACUUAAGCCACAAAAAAAAAAUCAUUUAAAUGAAAAUAAUAAUAACAAAAAUAAGAGAGGAGAUGUUUUUCUAAGGAAUAUAAAAUUACAACAAGAACAUAAUAACUUUUUGAAUAAAAUUUUGAACUUAGUUUCUUUUUUUUUCUCUUUUAUGGGUACGUACAUCAAAAAAGUCAAAAGGAAAAAAAAUAAAUUUUAAAAAAAAAAUCUCACCUUGGUUAGAAACAAGUCAAGUAGCUCGGCACCUGCUUUGGGUUCACUCAGAUCCGCUUGAUGGCUAAAAAUUAGAAAAAAUAAAUAAAUUAAAAAAAAGAAAAAAGAAAAUUAUGAUUUGGAAAGAGAAAAAAAUAGAAAUUAAUUUAAGAAGGGAGAAAAAAAAAAGGGGGUGGAAAAUGAAGAGGAUAAAGUUGGGGGGUUGGAGAGGGGAAAUUACCUAACGUGCCAGCGGAGGGGUCGGACCGGGUCGACGGGGGAGAGCGGUCCGAGCCGGCGCGGUUUGGGGCAAAAAACCGGGCUGCGCCGGUCCGGUCCGGCCGGUGGGGCCCGCACCUCCUCACACGUGGCGAACGCGCUCUGCUGCAUCGCGUGGUAGUAGUGAUUCAUCUCCUCCACUAAAUAAAUAAUAAUACAAACACCUACACAAAAUUAUAAAAAAAAAAAAAAAAUUAUUAGAACGUGUAACAGAUCUGGGAGAAAUUUUAGUUUUUAUUUUUUAGAGAAAAAAACCACAAUAAAUUUGAGUUUAUUUAAUCAGAAAAACCAAGUGAAAGAUGAAUCACAAAAUAAAAAAAAAUAAAAAAAUUUCCUCUCUCACCUUAGCUAAAUAUAUGUAUUUACUUUAAUAUUUCUCCCAAAAAAAAAACAAUUUAUAUCUUUGAUGAAGCCUUAAAAAUCCGGUUUUUAAUUAAAAGCUACAAAAAAAAUCCUAUUUUUACUUGUUUUGGAGAACCGAAAAAUACACUAAAAGUUAAAGAUAUAUCACACCAAAGCACAAAAAGAAAAGGGAGAAAAAAAGAAAAAAAAGGUGUAUAAUAAUUCAGAAGGAAAAAUAAAGCUCUCACCUUUAGCCACCUCUCUCUCUGUAAAUCUCUCUCUACUCUACCUCUCUCUCUCUCUGUAAAUCUCUCUCUAUCUCUCUCUCUCUCUCUCUCUCUCUAAAGAGAUGGGAAUUGAGAGGAUUAUUAUUAAAACAAAUAGAAAUAAAAGGAAAAAGAAAAAAGAGAGGGAGAGAGAUAGAGAGAGAGAGACGUAGAGGAGAGGAAGGAGAUGGGGUGAGGAGGUGAGAGGGGAUUUAUAGAGGAGUGGUGUGUGGUGAGGAUAUGGGGUAUGAAGUAAUGAACACCCUGUAAUUAUUAUUUUAUUUAUUUAUUUAUUUAUUUGUUUCCAAUUUUAUUAUUAUUAUUAUUAUUAUUAUUAUUAGGGAAAACUUCGAAAAUUCUUCUGUGGUUUCAUACUUUUUCAUUUUCGUAUCAUAUGGUUUAAAAUUUAUCAAGUUAGUACCCUGUGGUUCCUCACUUUAUCACUUUAGUACCCUAUGAUUUAAAGUGUAUCAAGUUAGUACCCUGUGGUUUUGCGCUUUAUCACUUUAGUACGCUGUGAUUUAAAAAACCACUGGGUACUAAGUUGAUACAAAAUUAAAACCACAGGUACUAAAGUGAUAAAGUAUAAAACCACAGAAUACUAACUUAAUACAUUUUAAACUACAUAGUACUAAAGUGAUAAAGUAAGAAACCAUAAGAUACUAACUUAAUACAUUUUAAACCACAAGGCANUACUAAAACGAUAAAGUGCAAAAGCACAGGGUACUAACUUGAUACACUUUAAACCACAGGGUACUAAAGUGAUAAAGUGAGAAACCACAUGGUACAAACUUGAUACAUUUUAAAUCACAGGGUACUAAAGUGAAAAAAAUUAAAACCACAAAGGAGAUUUUUAAAGUUUUCUCUUAUUAUUAUUAUUAUUAUUAAAAUAAAUAUUUUUAAAAAGUUUUAGGAAAAAAAGGAAAAUAAAAUAAAAGUAGUUGGAAUUGUUUAUUCCUUCACGUUUGUAGGCACCCCCGAGUGACAGAGGGACAGAAAGUAGAAAAAAAUUUUAGAUGUGGCUCUCAAAUUAUACAUUACAAAUAUUAAUGGCUAAAUUGCAGAUAUUUUUUAAAUGCGUUGCUAUAUGUUAGAUCGCUGUAUGUAGGGCUGUCUUAAUGUUUAGCACUCACUCUUCCAGCGAUCUGUGGCAGAGGGACACGUGGCGAUCGUAGCCCUAUACGGUCCCUGCGAGAUUCUCGCGACGGAGCUUCAAUCGCUGGAACCCUACCUCGUCGGCUGCGACAGCGGAGGAGAAGGAAAGAUGGUGAUAAAUUUNACUAACUUAAUACAUUUUAAACUACAUAGUACUAAAGUGAUAAAGUAAGAAACCAUAAGAUACUAACUUAAUACAUUUUAAACCACAAGGCACAAAAGUGAAAAGAAUUAAAACCACCAUAGGGAUUUUUGAAAUUUUUUCUUAUUAUUAUUAUUAUUAAAAUAAACGUUUUUAAAAAGUUUUAGGAAAAAAAAGAAAAGAAAGAAAAGUAGUUGGAAUUGUUUAUUCCUUCACGUUUGUAGGCACCCCCGAGUGACAGAGGGAGAGAAAGUAGAAAAAAAUUUUAGAUGUGGCUCUCAAAUUAUACAUUACAAAUAUUAAUGGCUAAAUUGUCGAUAUUUUUUAAAUGCGUUGCUAUAUGUUAGAUCGCUGUAUGUAGGGCUGCCUUAAUAUUUAGCACUCACUCUUCCAGCGAUCUGUGGCAGAGGGACACGUGGCGAUCGUAGCCCUGUACGGUCCCUGCGAGAUUCUCGCGACGGAGCUUCAAUCGCCGGAACCCUACUUCGUCGGCUGCGGCAGCGGAGGAGAAGGAAAGAUGGUGAUAAAUUUUUUAUUUUUUAUUUUUCUUUUCUAUUUGUAAUCGAGCUGAGUGGGUUAAGUAGGAUUGGUUGAGUAGAGAAAUUUUUAUUUUUGAUUGGAUUGUGCUUUAUAUUUAGACUUUAAUAAAAUUUUUUAAAAACUUUAAUAUAAAUGAAAUAGUUAUAUAAAAAUGUCUAAAAAUAUGUCUCUAUAAUCGAAUUAUGUUGUAUUAUUAAUUUAGUUAAUUUUAAAAAUUAGGCCAUUUAUAAUGAUAUUUAAAUUUAACGUUUGACUUAAUAUAUUUAAAGUUGACCACUGUAAUUAAUUGUAACUUUAUGAGAAAGCUUAGCCGUUGUUCCAGUUGAAAAUUUCAACGUUAAAUUAAAAAUAAAUUUACCUCCCAAGAAACACUUUAAUCCAAAAUAUAUUCCUUUUCCUACCUCCACUACUCAAUAGAUAAAUGAUAAAGUUUUAUAAAUUCACUUUUUAAUCACAUAUAGUUAAGGAAAAAUUAUUUAUACUUAUAAUAACUUUUAUUAUAUUCAAUUAAAAAAAGAUGUAUAUAAUUAUAAUUGCUAUAUAAUAUUUUUUAAUUUCGCACUUUUUCAUUUUAUUUUUUUCUUUUUGUUAUUUUCUUCGCUAAUUUUUUUGUUAAAUCAGUGACAAAGUUAAAACUAAAAAAUAUUAAAAGUGAAAUUCGAUAAACUAAAGGUGAAGGUAUCUGCAAAUUUUUAUAUAUGAUUUGUAACGAAAGUUAACGAAAAACUAAUGAAUAAAAAAAAGAAACAUACGUCUAAUUAAAUAUGACUUUAAAUUAUAUGAAUUAAAUAUAAAAAAUAUACGAAAUACACAGUGGUAUAAUGAAAGUUUAACUAUAUAAUUACUAUUGCCAUUGUAACAAACACAUCGCAGUCAAAUUAAAGUGAAAUUGUUACGUUGCAACAAUAUUCAAAUAUAUAUGUAUUAUUUUGAGGGCCUAAAUGUGAGAAAAAAUUAUACUUAAAUAAAAAAUAAAACUUAAAAAUAUAUUUAUUUAUAAAUUAGAAAGGGAUAAAUAUAUCCAACGGAAAGAGGGGCGGAGAAAGGGAAGCGUGUUUGACGAGUCCACCACCUUUUUUUUUAUUUAUUUAUUUUUUUUUUGUGGUCGUCCGUUUCUUUAGAUUUUCUUUUUUAUUUUUAUUUAUCUUUUUAUAAUUAUUACUUAAUAUUUAAAAAUAUAUUUUUUAAAUUAAUUAAUUAAUUAAUUAAUUUAUAUUUAUAUCAUGUUCGACCUACUCAAAUGCCGCGAAGUACGGACGCAUGCUAUUGGUUGUGGUAGUUGAUGCUUCGUGAGAGAUUUUUUUUAUUGCCCCCAAAGAUAUUUUUGCGUCUUAGUCCCUGCAAUAUUCCUGUAUUAUGCUUUAACUUUUUACAUUUUUCUUCUGAAAAAAUUUCAAAUACCACUCUUGAUGGUUUCGUCUUUAUUUUUUCGUAAUUUUUUUUAGCUAAAUUAUAAAAAAUCAUCCUAUCAAAAUCCGAUUUUUCACUUUUUCUUCCUGUCAUUUAAAAAUCUACAUUUUGCCCCCCUAAAAAAUAGUGUUAAUAAUAUUGAUAAAAUAACCAAAAUACCCUCUCAUUCUUCCUCUCCUCCUCCAACCCUUCUUUAUCUGUAGAAGGGUAUUUUUGAUAUAAAAAAAUAUAUAAUAAUGGAAUAUAGACGGAAUCGUAACGGAACACUAACGGCGGGGUCCAAAGUAAAUAUUUUUUAUUUUUUAGGGGGGCAAAGUGUAGGUUUUUAAAUGACAGGAAGGGAAAGUGAAAAAUCGAAUUUUGAUAGAGAGGUUUUCUGUAAUUUAGUCUUUUUUUUAUUAUCCUCUUCAUUAAUUUUUUUAUUCAAUCAGUAACAAAAUUAAAUCUAAAAUAUAUUAAAAUUAAUAUUCGAUAAAACUAUGUGGGGUAUCUGAAGUUUUUUGUAUAUAAUUUAACGAAAUAUUAACAGAAGAGCCGGCGAAAAAAAGAAAAUGAAACCAUAGGGUACUAAAUUGUUAUACUUUAAAUUACAGAGUAGUAAAAUAAGGAAAUGAAAAACUACAGGUAUGGUUUUUAAAGUUUACUCUAAGUUAAUGUUUUUGGUGGCCAUAUUCAAACUCAAAUUCAAAAAUAUAUAUAGUCUCAAUAAUAAUUUAUUAUCUAAUAUAUUUUUCAAAAAUAUAAAAUUAGUACCUAGAGUAAUUUUGGCCUAUACCGUUUGGUUCGGGUAUAAGCAAGAACUAGUUAUUACAGGGAUAAGUACAAGUAUGAGGAUAAGAAAAAUAGUGUUUGGAUGAAAAUUGGGUUGUUCCCGGUGAUAAGAACAAUUUUAGGUAGUUUUAUAUAGAAAAUGGAGGUGUUGGUGGGGAUAACCGAGAACUACUAUUCUCGGGUAAAAAAUUAUCGUUUGGGUAUAAAGGGGGAUAAAGGCCUAUUCCUAUCCCUAUCCCCUAACCAAACGCUGAAAGUUGGUUCGCUGUACG
rnacentral:lncRNA from 1 species